rnacentral:tRNA from 1 species
GGGUGCUUAGUUAAAUUUUAUAAUUUUGAUCUGUCAGGUCAAUGUUGCUUUUGGGCAGUACUCA